UACAGAGGGUGCGAGCGUUAAUCGGAAUUACUGGGCGUAAAGCGUGCGUAGACGGCUAUCUAAGUCGGAUGUGAAAGCCCCGGGCUCAACCUGGGAAUUGCAUUCGAGACUGAAUAGCUAGGGUACGGUAGAGGGAAGCGGAAUUUCCGGUGUAGCGGUGAAAUGCGUAGAUAUCGGAAGGAACAUCAGUGGCGAAAGCGGCUUCCUGGACCAGUACCGACGUUCAGGCACGAAAGCGUGGGGAGCAAACAGG
rnacentral:rRNA from 1 species